GGCCUCUCUCCCAUGAAGCUGUGGGGGUCUCUUUUCUCCUCAGUCAGGACCGGAGGCCAAGAUCAGCCCUUGAGGAUCAUCGUCAGGGCUGCCACGAGCCAGGCAGCCUUGUUUUCCUACCUCAGACAUUU
ensembl:scaRNA